UUUCAGAUUUAUUUUCUAAAUUUGUGUGAUAUAUUCUUUCAUUCAUAACAUACGUAAAAUCCAGAGACCAUAACAAUCUACAUGUAACCCGGGGGUAUUGGACAUUAAACUGAACUGUAGUCAAGUGCCGCAAAGCAAUUUGAGGCUCUAUACGAGUGGAUAAAAAUGGACGAAGAAAAUGUCAAUACCUCCCAAAUGUUAAAUACCAGCAGAGAUGUUCUAUACGGGC
rnacentral:lncRNA from 1 species